rnacentral:misc_RNA from 1 species
AAAAAAAACAAGAACAACUACUGCCACCACCUCCUCCUCCUCCUCCUCCUGAUCGUCAACCUUCUUCCUCCUCCUCUAACCCUGCCAAGAAACCCCCUCCUAAACGCACCUCCACCAAGGACCGGCAUACCAAAGUCGAAGGCCGCGGCCGUCGAAUCCGCAUGCCUGCCACCUGCGCUGCCAGGGUUUUUCAGCUCACUCGUGAACUCGGCCACAAAUCCGACGGUGAAACCAUCGAGUGGUUACUACAACAAGCUGACCCCGCUGUCAUCGCUGCCACUGGUACCGGUACCAUUCCCGCCNCGCCAACUUCACUUCCCUUAACAUCUCUCUUCGCAGUUCUGGGUCUUCCAUCUCCGCCUCUCACCAUCU